rnacentral:lncRNA from 1 species
CUCGAUAAUUAUUAAACAUUGAAAGGUUUCUCUUUUUUUUUUUUAAUUAAGAAAAUCGAUGGAUGCUUCUGUAACGCGUACGAAACAGAAAUGUAAACUAUCUUUUCGUAAGGACUGUAAAUAUAGAAGAAAAAUGUAAAAAAUAGGAUAAUGCGUGUAUUUCCAUUGUAGUUUAUUCACUAAAUGCCGGACCACGAUAUUUAUGACUGCUAUUCGUGGGACUUGCCAGAGGCAUACCGGAUUACUACUACAGAGAGCGUCUUGUGGGUUAAAGCCGCUAUACCACACACUUUAACCGUCUCACCCCUCCCGCGUGUCGUUUGGGAUAGCAUAAACGAAAGCAUUUACACACACAAACACACACGGGUGGUAAGUUCCCGACAGGCUCCGGGCAAUCUUAUUCUUCUAUCCAGCUUUGUUUCUAUGGGAUUUCUAUGAUGUUGCGUCCUUAUGACUCCGGUCAUCAAUCUAUCUUUAUUAUGCAUCUGUUUUCCUGCUUAUAAAUGCUUGAUUUAACACCUUAAUAGGCAGUGCAUGGUUCAAACUGUUCUAAAUCUCGGCCAAUUAAGCUCUACUUAAUUUUGCGACAAUUUGAAAUGACUGAAAAACAAAGUGAGAUUAUAAAAAUCUAAACGAAAGGUAUUAAAGAGCAGAUGAGCGGUGUCAUCUUCGCUGUUUUACAGUUCAUUUGUCGGUACUUCGUUUCUUGUAAAGGGUGAUUAAAAUCGUUGUAUCUGAUUACAAUUACUAUAUAACUUAUACCUGGUCAUUGUCUACAUUUCACUGUAAUUAUAACUUCGGUGAUCAAUGAUUAUUCCACAUUUGUAUGGAAUAAUUAUUGAUCACCAGAGUGUAAUUGUAAUCGGAGGAUGGCGGAGCGACUCUCCAUUUUACUAAUGUAUAGCAACGGAUAUUAGGCUUGUCGUUUGGGAAACGAGCCAACUCCAAGCUUGUCCAAAUGGUGAGUAAAAAUGGCAACCAACCAUGCAUUUCGCUCCAUGUAAUGGACCAUGACUCCGGGACCAGUAGGUGGUUCAUCGGGGCCAACUUUAAUCGUCCUGAAAAAACGCUCUUGGAAAAAAAACACCAUUCCUUAAUAUUAUAACGGUUUUAAUUACCUAAUAUUUAUCGGAUAUAUAUGUGUGUGUGUGGGUCUAUAUGCUACAUCUAAUAAAAUUAGCAGUGUUCCUGUAGUUGGGUCUUUGCCUCAAGCUCUCUUUGUUCGGUUAAACCUACACUUUGAUGGGCUAAAUUAAAUUUUGUUUCUUCUUCUUUACCUUAAUUCGAUUUAAUUUUAUCCUAUUCUUUUCUCAGUUCUUUAAUUUAAUUUAAUCCUGAGUAAGAUAAAGUUGGUCACUGUUCUAAAUCUUACUAACAUCUGUUAUCUUAAUUUUCUCUCUCUUUCUGUAUUUAAAUGUAAAAAAAAAAAAAAAAAGUCGAGUCCCUCUUUUUUUUUUGAAAAAGAAGGAACUGUAAUUAAAAAUCCGAAAUUAGAAUUAACUAGGAAAUUAGGAUUGAUUUGUGUAUAUUAUUUACAGCUAAUCUAUGUGGUCUAAGUACAGAACGUUCUACUUGAAACAUGAUGCCAUCUAAUCGCUAACUGAUGCUCAAUCUUUACAAUUAGUCACCUGGGAUGUCCAAUACAUGACACAGUUUCUCUUUAGUCCUUCACCGUCGACAUUUGUCACUUGCCUAAUCUCAUGUCACGUGACAACGUGUCGUAAUGUUCGUAAAUAAAGUCUUAAUUGAUGAACGAAAACCUCCAAUUUCUGCUUAGUGGGGGGAUUAUUUUAGAAUGUCGACUGGUUAAAACGAUUUCCAAAUCGAUUUUUCCCUUUUACGUUUUCAACCGAAAUGUUUAAUCGAUUGCACUUUCGUAAGAAAUGUAUAGAAACGAUUACC